CGACAGUGGACUUCUGCAUUCACCCACCGGGCCGCCCCAAAGGCCCUCUGGGCCUCACUGACAGUUGGCCUCCUAUAGCAGCCAACCAUUCCCCGAGUCUCUCCUGGACUUCUUCCGAUCGCAGACGACCCUACUCCGAACUUCUUCCAGGCUUCGUCAGCAUCCGAGCUUCUUCGACAAUGAGAUUUCUACAGUAAUCAGAUCCCAUCCGAGUUUCUACGGUGGUCAACCGCCUUCAGGAUUCAAGCCGAGCUCCUGCGAUAGCCGAACUCCCGCUACGAGCAGUCUACUCCGAACCCCUACAGUAGGCGGACUUCAACCGAGCUUCUAUA
rnacentral:lncRNA from 1 species